rnacentral:lncRNA from 1 species
GCAAGCCAGAGUGUGCCAGAGGAGUGCUGGAGCUCCCAGCUUCCCUUUCUAGAUGAAAUUGCUGAUGCUGUAGGGAUCUUUUCAGCAAAGACCUUGGCAAAAUAAAUAGAGGAAAGAUCCAAGGCAAGAUUUGAACUCAAGAUUUUCCUGAUUCCAAGUCCAAUCCUCUGUUUUACCUAGCUGUAGGUAUCCACGGGAGAGGGUUAAAGGAGGACGCUAGUGGUUAUUUGGAAAUGCAUAGGAUUUAACCAUGUCAGAGAUUCAAAUCUCUGUAAAAUUCUAGAACACUGAACCUAGACUUCAUGAACUGAAGAUAUAUAGGCAAGGUAAUGAGCAUCCAGCAGGAGAAGGGGACGUGUCCAAAACAGAAACGAAGGUGCUUGGAUUGUUCUUGGAAGAGAUGGAUGGAAUAUAUAUAUAUAUAAAUUGAGCCCUGAAUAAUCUUUGAGAUUUGGACUAGCGGAAAAAAUGGAGAAGAUGUGGUAGUGUCUUGGGGGACCCCUAUAAGGCUUCAGAAUGAAAGGCUUCCAGGACUGUGGGGGAGGGAUGGCUGCUGUUAGACACAAAUAGGUUUGAAUCCACCAGCAUGGAGCAAAAUGAAGAACACUGAACUAGAGAAUCACCGGAUUUAGCUUCAAAUCUUAACUCUACUAUGACUUUAGAAAAUUCUCUUAAUUUCUCUGGGUUUGUUUCCAUCCUUUGAACUAAGGAGAUUGGCCUAGGUUAUAAGUCUAAUAUCUCUUUGAGUUUUAAAUUUAUUGUUUCACCUGCAUAUGCAGGUAUCCAGUUUGUCUCUCUGUCUCUCCAAAAAAGAUGUUAUACAAAUAUAUAUUUCAUCUGGAUAUCCACUAGCUAUCUCUUAUUCAAUAUAGGUACAGUAAAAAUUUUUUUCUUCCCUCUGUCCCAAAAAUAUACAUCCUACAGCUUCCUGUGACUGUUGAAGAAACUACCAUCUUCCUAGUCGCCCCGCUUCACAAUCUCAACUUGACAUUAAAAGCUCUGUGGAACUGGGCUCCCCCCUUCCUUUGCAGAUUUUUUUUUCUACUCACCUUCACACAUGUUCUGGAC